rnacentral:lncRNA from 1 species
AUUAAAUGAUCGAUGCCCUAGAAUAGAGACAUCUUCUCUAUUUAUACAAGGGAUUUAGGGUUACAAUAAAUGCUCCUUUUCCUUAGAUUUUCAGAAGAUAUUGUCAUAAAUAUUCGAUUAGGGUUUUCGAAACCCUAAUGAUCCGAGAUCGUCAAUUCCAUUUUAGGAAUGAAGCACCCUUUUCAUUAAUUGGACAACAAACCGGGAUUCCCCGAUUUAUUGGUUUAAUUCGAUUCCGUCUUGGUUUANN